AUUGCCUCAGUAACGGCGAGUGAAGCGGCAACAGCUCAAAUUUGAAAUCUGGCCCUAGGCCCGAGUUGUAAUUUGCAGAGGAUGCUUUUGGCGAGGUGCCUUCCGAGUUCCCUGGAACGGGACGCCAUAGAGGGUGAGAGCCCCGUCUGGUCGGACACCGAGCCUCUGUAAAGCUCCUUCGACGAGUCGAGUAGUUUGGGAAUGCUGCUCAAAAUGGGAGGUAUAUGUCUUCUAAAGCUAAAUACCGGCCAGAGACCGAUAGCGCACAAGUAGAGUGAUCGAAAGAUGAAAAGCACUUUGAAAAGAGAGUUAAACAGCACGUGAAAUUGUUGAAAGGGAAGCGUUUAUGACCAGACUUGGCCCGGUUGAUCAUCCAGCGUUCUCGCUGGUGCACUCUGCCGGUCCAGGCCAGCAUCAGUUCGCCGCGGGGGAUAAAGGUUUCGGGAAUGUGGCUCCUCCGGGAGUGUUAUAGCCCGUUGCGUAAUACCCUGCGGUGGACUGAGGUCCGCGCUUCUGCAAGGAUGCUGGCGUAAUGGUCAUCAACGACCCGUCUUGAAACACGGACCAAGGAGUCGUCUUCGUAUGCGAGUGUUCGGGUGUAAAACCCCUACGCGUAAUGAAAGUGAACGCAGGUGAGAGCUUCGGCGCAUCAUCGACCGAUCCUGAUGUUCUCGGAUGGAUUUGAGUAAGAGCAUACGGGGCCGGACCCGAAAGAAGGUGAACUAUGCCUGUAUAGGGUGAAGCCAGAGGAAACUCUGGUGGAGGCUCGCAGCGGUUCUGACGUGCAAAUCGAUCGUCAAAUAUGGGCAUGGGGGCGAAAGACUAA
rnacentral:rRNA from 1 species